rnacentral:lncRNA from 10 species
AUAUCAUUUGUGUGUGGUGAUUGGAGGAGAGUUGGGGAGGGCAGGGGAGCAUUCAAGGGAAUGAAGAAACAGUUUUACAAUGUGGAGGAAGUUGGUCAGACUUCAGCUUCCCCAGAGGAUAAGCAAAAUUUAAUUAUUAACUUGUUCUUGGCACCAGAUUUAUUCCCCACAGAAAAACUUUAAAUCAAACCUAGAAAUAACUCUAAGAGAGAAGAGGAGACAUUUUAUUUGAACAUGUGUGCUGUAGAUGAAAUGCACCUGACAAUUCAAUAUGUGGAUCCUUCUUGGAAGUAACAGAGCAUGCUGGCCAAAGAGUUACUGCAAAAAUGCUCCUAAAUCAAGUAAACAAGGAAAAGAACAGGAGCUGAUAAUGCUGUUGUUUGUUAAUGCUCUUAUUGUAAACUACUUUUUGGAAGAUAAACCUUUUGUGGGAAGGCCAGGUACUAGGCUCCUUCAUUGCCUUAGAUGAUCCAAGAGACUGAGUAAUCAAGAUGGAGCAAAGAGCAAGAAGAGUGUCUGCAACACUUUUAACUUCACAAAGAAGUUACCAGGCAGAAGGGGACAAUUGCAGUGACUGAUUUUCCUGACAAAAUGACAGUGUCUUGACAAUGGCUAUGAAGUCUUGAUGACCCUUAACAUCUCAUAGAACAAAGAAGUCAGUAGAGCAAGGUGAAAAUGUUAAAGGAGGAAUACAAGAAACACAAAAGAAAGAUGACAGGGUGACAAGUUAAACAUAAUCCACGGAAUAAGAAACGUCAGAAGCCUCCUCCGCAGUACACCUACAAACACCUGCCCUUUUGUUAAUAGAUAAAAGAGAGCCUCUCACUGUAACUCCUUAACUUCCUUGGUGGAGGGAAAUCAGAUGGCUAGAAAGUGUGGUGGUGCCUGGUGUGAAAGACUUAACUGGGCAACACAUCCAGCAAGCUGUAUUUAACCUUCAUCAGUCUUUUAUUUGUACCCCCUAAAUCCUGGUUAUUGAAGUCUUCCAACUCCACCUCAUCUCUCCUUUUAUUGUCCCACUCAUAAAAUCUCAUAGGAGUAAAUAGAUUAGACAUAUUUACUGAUUAGGGCAGACAUAUUCCUCAUAUGUACUGAGGAAGAGUGAUAGGGGGAUCACCUUGGCCUGAAACCCUCUAUCAGGAGCCAAUUUUCAAGAAGAUAAGAAAAUAAUCAGCCACUUGUGAUCUUCUUUCCUUAAUUAUAUGAGAUCCUAUCCAAAUUUUCAAUCCACUGUCACUGACCUCUGAGGACCUUUGAUGCCUUUGACCUGGCUCUAGUGGAGUACCUUCCAUUCUUCCAAAUAGUCCCCCCAUUUGCCUUGGCCUUAAAUUCCACCAUGAAGGGGGAGUCUUUUAUUUUAAGCAUUUCUUUUUAUCUAAUAAUAAAAGAUAGAGGAAAUAAGAUAGUGGGAUUCGAAAUAACGUAACACAAAUUAAUUAUUCAUAUCAGUUUCUCUACUAGAGGAAAUGCAAUAGUUGAUUAAGGAUCAGAGGAAGGAAAAUCCUUCAAUGAAACAUUGAAAGAAAGCUGAAGAAUUUGUAGUGAGAGAAAACAAUUAUCUUAACAAACAUUUUUAUAUUAUAAUUCUUUUUCCCUUCUGGACAUCAGAUGCAGAUAAUUGAGUUCGUGAUUCAAUUCGUGGGUCAUUAUCAUCACUGGCCGCAGCAAGGCUUUAUUUGUAAAAAUUUUUUUCCAUUUUAUUUCCGUUCCUCAUUCCCAUUCCACCUCCCCACAGGUAGCUCUUCUAAUAUAUUAAAUGUGUACCUUUUUGUUUGCAUGUGUUCUUGCAAAAUGCAUAUUUUUGUGUACAUCAAAUUUACAUAAAUAAUAUCACAUCAUAAAAUUCAAUCCAUUUUAGAUUUUAUUUUCCUUGGACCAUAUUUUAAGAGCCAUGCAUGUUGCUGUGUGUACAUAUAAUCCCUUGCCUCUAACCACUACACAAUGUGCACAUUUUCCCUACAUACUCUCCCAGUGAUGUUGACCAAUAUUACCUCCAGUUAUCGCACCCCAAAUGAUGCUGAAACCAAUAUACAUGUACAUGACCCUUAUGGAACUGUGUGAGAAUUACUUUGAACUCUAUGUGCAAGAGCAAAAUUGCUGUUAAUAAAGUUAAAAUACACUUA